rnacentral:lncRNA from 1 species
CCAGUAUACACAGGGAAGGUUUAUUUUCAUCACUAAUACCUGGGAAGUGGUUUGGAGGAAUAAACUGAAAUCAUUUCCAGACUAGGAGGGAAAGCUGGUUUAUUUUCCCCCCAUAAAUAUAGCUGUAAAGAAAACUAAACCACAAGAGCUGCUCAUACUGAAGCCCACAGGAUUUCUCCAUCUCCACCAGUGUGCAAAAACAGCUUUUCCCAUUAAAUAUAAGAAUAUAUUCCUUCACUCUGGGACUACAGCCAGAACCAAAGCCCACUAUCGCAGCCACUCAAAGGAAGAAAACAGAACACAACACCCAAACAAAACACACCUCCUUAAUAAAAAAAGCAUAAAUCACUUCAGUUCUUGCAAGCUCUCUGCUCAGAGCAUCAUUCCUGUCCUUUCCUGCCCCAUACCGUGGGGCUCCAAGGGAACAGGACCUCCAGACAGCAGCAAUACAUGAGUGAAAAGGUCACUGGACAGACUAGAAGGGGACAUUCAUUGCUGUGGUUUGUUGCAGAGCAGCAAGUACCUGCAGAUGGACACUGGCAGCAGCCCACCCGCUGGGGAGGGGACACAGAGCCCUGCUGCAGCCUCACCAGGGGAUCAGCAGCUUCCUUCCUGCCACCACCUCUUCCAGCAAAGGGACAAGGGCCAUGAAGCCCCAACACUGUGCUGGAAGCACGUCUCAUCCUCAGGGCAGAGCCAACACUGGCAGAACAAAGAGGUAGGGCUGAGCUUGCCCCUUUUGGCAGCUCAAAGGGUUUCCAAAGAAGCCCCCUUUGCUAUGGCUGUACCUUCAAGUGCCCAGACAACCACCCAGGUGAUGGCUGAGCGCUUACUUUGUGUUGGUGGUACCCUACAGACCCAAAAAGCAUGGCACAGUAAGACUAAGCUGGGUGCUGGUGAAACAACCCACCCAGCACACUGCAUCUUUGGGUCUGCAGGACACAGCAGCAGCAAGGAACUGCUCCCCUUCAGCUCCAGCUUGUCUUGGAGCACAGGGGGAGCCUGAGCGCUGUAACAGGCAAAGGACACAGGGAACCAGAGACCAAACAUGCUGCACGUUGGCUCCCAGUGCCCAGGAGACAGGACUUACCAGUAGGUAC